rnacentral:rRNA from 1 species
CUACGGGAGGCAGCAGUAGGGAAUCUUCCGCAAUGGACGAAAGUCUGACGGAGCAACGCCGCGUGAGUGAUGAAGGUUUWCGGAUCGUAAAGCUCUGUUGUUAGGAAGAACAAGUACCGUWCGAAUAGGGSGUACCUUGACGGUACCUAACCAGAAAGCCACGGCUAACUACGUGCCAGCAGCCGCGGUAAUACGUAGGUGGCAAGCGUUGUCCGGAAUUAUUGGGCGUAAAGGGCUCGCAGGCGGUUUCUUAAGUCUGAUGUGAAAGCCCCCGGCUCAACCGGGGAGGGUCAUUGGAAACUGGGGAACUUGAGUGCAGAAGAGGAGAGUGGAAUUCCACGUGUAGCGGUGAAAUGCGUAGAGAUGUGGAGGAACACMAGUGGCGAAGGCGACUCUCUGGUCUGUAACUGACGCUGAGGAGCGAAAGCGUGGGGAGCGAACAGGAUUAGAUACCCUGGUAGUCMACGCCGUAAACGAUGAGUGCUAAGUGUUAGGGGGUUUCCGCCCCUUAGUGCUG